UUGUGAAAUGCAGUAGUAAGAGAAAUGGAUUGUAACAAGUGCUCUCUUAUUUGGUUUUGUUUUGUUCUUGUGUAUCAUGAGUUUCUCAACUAAGGCAAUAGCAAGGAACAUUGCUGGUGCUUCUGAAGCGUAUGCAGUUUCAGAAGAAGUGGGUGAUAAUAGAAAACUACUUGACUCAGAUCAGCGAUGUAAGAGAGGAAGAAUUGCGCUUGAAGUGCGUGAGAAGGCAGCAAAUGUUCCACGUUGCCACAAUUAUCUUUGAUAGGGAAGUCUUGUGUUGUGUUGUGUUACACAUUAUUCAUGGAUGAAGUACAUAAAUAAAAGACCUCUUAAUUCUACGGUACUAUUUUUCAUUGGUUUUCUUUAUAAUAAAUUCAUGUAAUUUUUCGUUAACAAUUUUUCUGUAAUUAUAUUUUUUAAAAUAACUAAUUAUGUC